rnacentral:rRNA from 1 species
GUGUCAGCAGCCGCGGUAAUACGUAGGGGGCAAGCGUUGUCCGGAAUCAUUGGGCGUAAAGAGCGUGUAGGCGGCCCGGUAAGUCCGCUGUGAAAGUCCAGGGCUCAACCCUGGGAUGCCGGUGGAUACUGUCGGGCUCGAGUCCGGAAGAGGAGUGUGGAAUUCCUGGUGUAGCGGUGAAAUGCGCAGAUAUCAGGAGGAACACCAAUGGCGAAGGCAGCACUCUGGGACGUGACUGACGCUGAGACGCGAAAGCGUGGGGAGCAAACAGGAUUAGAUACCCUGGUAGUCCACGCUGUAAACGAUGGGCACUAGGUGUGGGGGGUGUCGACUCCCUCCGUGCCGAAGCUAACGCAUUAAGUGCCCCGCCUGGGGAGUACGGCCGCAAGGCUAAAACUCAAAGGAAUUGACGG